rnacentral:rRNA from 1 species
AUUGAACGCUGGUGGAAUGCUUUACACAUGCAAGUCGAACGGUAGCACGGACUUCGGUCUGGUGGCGAGUGGCGAACGGGUGAGUAAUGUAUCGGAACGUGCCCAGUCGUGGGGGAUAACGUAGUGAAAAUUACGCUAAUACCGCAUACGAUCUAUGGAUGAAAGCGGGGGAUCGCAAGACCUCGCGCGAUUGGAGCGGCCGAUAUCAGAUUAGGUAGUUGGUGGGGUAAAGGCCCACCAAGCCAACGAUCUGUAGCUGGUCUGAGAGGACGACCAGCCAAACUGGAACUGAGACACGGUCCAGACUCCUACGGGAGGCAGCAGUGGGGAAUUUUGGACAAUGGGCGAAAGCCUGAUCCAGCCAUUCCGCGUGCAGGAUGAAGGCCCUCGGGUUGUAAACUGCUUUUGUACAGAACGAAAAGGUUUCUACUAAUACUAGGAGCUCAUGACGGUACUGUAAGAAUAAGCACCGGCUAACUACGUGCCAGCAGCCGCCGUAA